UCAAAUACAUGGGGUGUCCUGGGAAAUCAGGGCUGAGAUCAUACCCGGAAGUCGACCACUUCGCACCUGAUCCAGAUCAUACUGGCGUAGGGAAUUUGCUAGGGCUAUUA
rnacentral:ncRNA from 1 species